UACAGAGUGUGCGAGCGUUAAUCGGAAUUACUGGGCGUAAAGCGUGCGUAGACGGCCAUCUAAGUCGGGUGUGAAAGCCCCGGGCUCAACCUGGGAAUUGCAUUCGAGACUGAAUAGCUAGGGUGCGGUAGAGGGAAGCGGAAUUUCCGGUGUAGCGGUGAAAUGCGUAGAUAUCGGAAGGAACACCGGUGGCGAAAGCGGCGCGCUGGACCUCUUCUGACGCUGAGGCGCGAAAGCCAGGGGAGCAAACGGG
rnacentral:rRNA from 1 species